AACAUAAGUAUAGGGUAAAAUGGCUGAGUAAGCAUUAGACUGUAAAUCUAAAGACAGGGGUCAAAUCCUCUUUUUGCC
rnacentral:tRNA from 1 species